AUACGGGGGGUGCAAGCGUUAAUCGGAAUUACUGGGCGUAAAGCGCGCGUAGGCGGUUUGCUCAGUCGGAUGUGAAAGCCCAGGGCUCAACCUUGGAACUGCAUACGAUACUGGCAAACUAGAGUGUGAGAGAGGAUAGUGGAAUUUCCGGUGUAGCGAUGAAAUGCGUAGAUAUCGGAAGGAACAUCAGUGGCGAAGGCGACUGUCUGGCUCAACACUGACGCUGAGGUGCGAAAGCGUGGAUAGCAAACAGGAUUAGAAACCCUAGUAGUCC
rnacentral:rRNA from 1 species